GUGGGGAAUAUUGGACAAUGGGCGCAAGCCUGAUCCAGCCAUGCCGCGUGAACGAUGAAGGCCUUCGGGUUGUAAAGUUCUUUAGCCGAUGAUUAUAAUGACUGUAGUCGGAAAAUAAGCCCCGGCUAACUUCGUGCCAGCAGCCGCGGUAAUACGAAGGGGGCGAGCGUUAUUCGGAAUCACUGGGCGUAAAGCGUGCGUAGGCGGUCUCGUAAGUUAGGUGUGAGAGCCCAGGGCUCAACCUUGGAAUUGCUCUUAAUACUGCAAGGCUAGAAACUCGGAGAGGAUAGCGGAAUUUCCAGUGUAGCAGUGAAAUGCGUAGAUAUUGGAAGGAACACCAGUGGCGUAAGCGGCUAUCUGGACGAGUAUUGACGCUGAGGCACGAAAGCGUGGGGAUCAAACAGGAUUAGAAACCCUGGUAGUCC
rnacentral:rRNA from 1 species